AUUGAACGCUGGCGGCAUGCCUUACACAUGCAAGUCGAACGGCAGCACGGGUGCUUGCACCUGGUGGCGAGUGGCGAACGGGUGAGUAAUAUAUCGGAACGUACCUUAUUGUGGGGGAUAACGCAGCGAAAGCUGUGCUAAUACCGCAUAAUCCCUAAGGGGGAAAGCGGGGGACCGUAAGGCCUCGCGCAAUUAGAGCGGCCGAUACCAGAUUAGAUAGUUGGUGAGGUAAAGGCUCACCAAGGCAAAGAUCAGUAGAUGGUCUGAGAGGACGACUAGCCACACAGGGACUGCGAAACGACCCAAACUCCUAAGGUAGGCAGCAGUGGGGAAUUUUUGACAAUGGGGGCAACCCUGAUCCAGCAAUGCCGCGUGAGUGAAGAAGGCGUUCGGGUUGUAAAGCUCUUUUGUCAGGGAAGAAACAGCAGCUCUAACACAGUUUGCGAAUGACGGUACCUGAAGAAUAAGCACCGGCUAACUACGUGCCAGCCGCCGCCGUAA
rnacentral:rRNA from 1 species